rnacentral:rRNA from 1 species
UAAACGACUCUCGGCAACGGAUAUCUCGGCUCUCGCAUCGAUGAAGAACGCAGCGAAAUGCGAUACUUGGUGUGAAUUGCAGGAUCCCGCGAACCAUCGAGUUUUUGAACGCAAGUUGCGCCCGAAGCCUUUUGGCUGAGGGCACGUCUGCCUGGGUGUCACUCA